GCCAGGAGUGGUGGUGCAUGCCUGUAAUCCCAGCUACUCAGGAGGCUAAAGUGGGAGGAUCACUUGAGCCCAGAAGCUCUGUGCUGUAGUGUGCUAUGCCAGUCAGAUGUUUGUACUAAGUUUGGCAUCAGUAUGGUUACCCCUCUCCCAGGAGCAGGUGACCACUAGAUUGCCUUAGGAGGAAUGAACCAGCCCAAGUCAGAAACCAAGCAGGUCAACAUUCCCAUGGUGAUCAGCAGUGGGAUCAUGCCAGUGAACAGCCACUGCACUACAAUGUGAGCAACAUAGAGAGAUCCCCUCUCA
ensembl:misc_RNA Metazoa_SRP Metazoan signal recognition particle RNA